CUUCAUUUCAUGAUUAAGGGUUUCCACAUUUAUAGCAUUUUGGUGUCUGCAAUUCGUCAGAUAUUCAACGCGAGUUUUUCCCUGGGUGAGCAUGGGUGAUGUAAUUGCAGAGCUAGUAUUAGAGGCUAAUGAAUUGCUAGAUACAACCACAGACAACUGGAAUGCCCUUUUGGAGUACUCUCAGAAUGCUCUUCUACCACAACACCUUCAAGCGGUGCGGACUCGGGUGAUUAAUCAUACCAUACGGCUAUCAUUGUAGAUCUGUUGCAGCCAGUUCCAGCGGAAGUUGCGGCGGUAGAUCCAGCAGCAGCAAACCAGCAAGAGGCGUCGAACUCGACCUCAGGUGGCCCUCAGAGUAGUGGUUCCGGUAGCGAGGCGUAAUUUCGAGGAGAAGAAUCUGUACUUCUUGUUUGAAAUGACUAUUCUUAGACAUGCACCCUUUUUAUGGAUUUCGUUAAUGUUGUUGCAAGUUUUAGAUCUGGAAUCAUCAAGUAUCCUUAAGCUCUAUAAUCACUCCCAAGGUAAUUAAUUGCAGCUUCGUUU